rnacentral:lncRNA from 1 species
AUGUUACACCAUCGUUGGCCACAAAGCUGGAGAAUGCAGUACUGCUCAGAUACAUUGGUCUCCAGCAGCAACCCUUCUGCCCCUCAAGGUAAACUUGCCAAGCAUGCAGGACCUGGCAUCAGCAUGAGUGGUCAGGACCCCCAAAAUGGGCUGGGGGCCCAGGUGAGCCCAGCCUUGGUACCUUUGUACAUCCUUACCCUGGGCACAGAGGUCUGCUCCUCCAAGUGCUGCUUCUUGGCUGCCUCCUUGCCCCAGCAGGAGCAAGCUGCAUGGCUCAUGCACACCACAGCUCACUCACACUCCUGCCUCCUGGCUUCGCUCCCUCUUUAAUUCCCUCAUUGCACCUUUGCUAGCAGAAGCACGUGUAAAAGCUGGAGGUCUCUUUAUGUACUGGAGUCAAACAUUUACUUACAAGCACUGUUCCAGCAAUAACAAUUAAAUUAAACAUGAAGGGAAUAUAGCUGCCUGGAAGAUCUACAAGCUGGAGGUGUAAAUCACACCACAUAACUAAUUUAUGACAUUCUGUGCCUACAGCUGUACGCUGACGUUUUUUAAGUGUAAGGGUGGCUGUGAUUUCUAAGUGUUUUUGGCAAUGGAAGAAUAGGAAACUGACUGCAUGUGCCUCUGUCCCUGCACCCAAAGCCAUAAAGGAAGCAAGGCCAGGUUAGGUCAACAGCCAGACACAAGGGAUAUCAUGUAAGUGAUUCUGCUGGAGAAAUCCAAAGAGGGGACUUGGAUUUUUUUAUUUUUUUUCCACAGAAAUAAUGAGCUUUCGAUUUUGUGAAACAUAAGGCAACAGCAAGGGCAUUUCUGAAGAGAAAUUGUUCAAUUACAUUUUUCAGUGAAAAUGUACUUGAGUAAAUUUUUUAAAAGGAUAGCCUUAAACCACUGUAUUAUUAGACUUUGGAGAAAAAAAAAAAAAAAAGAAAAAGAAAAAAAAAAAAAAACACUGUAUUUUCUCAGCCAGAGCAUGUUCAAAAUACAGAUCUGUUUUUUCAGGUUGGAUCUCAUAUGUCCUGCAUAUCUCUGUCUUGUGACUGAGAUGCUUUCCCUCUAUGUAGUGUGAUGCUAUCUGUAAAUACUUUGGGAAAUACAUUGUUGGAAUGAACUAAAGAAGUUACGGCCACCUACAAACAAACAAGCAAAAUAUGCCAGAAAGUUAAGCAAGGACAAGACGAUAAAUCAAAAGAUGCAGGUAGUGAGGAAGAACUUUUCUAGUUGCAAUUCCUAGUUCAUAACUGCUUGUGUUUGGCAGACAGUCCGACUAGCUUAAGUUAUUUGACAUUUCUCUUGUAAGUGAUAGGGGGGCAGAGCUGUUCUUCCUGAUCUGAAGGAGCAUGCCAGUCAAGCACAGUAAAACACUGCUGGCUAAUGUGACGCAGGCAACGCUGUUUCAGGUCUGUGUUGUUUCUGGACCUGGAUCUUCAAAAUGGCAUAAACUGUGGUUAAAACUGUAUUUUUAUUAUUAUUAUUUUUUCUACCCUUGUUGUGGGUUUAAUAAUCUCGUACUUGACAUUCUUGUCAUUUUGGAAAACAAACAAAAACAAACAAGCAAAAACAACAGACAACAACAACAACAAAAACACUCUGUGUUUCAAAUCACAGCCUGCUUAUAAGAUUCUGUUUUAAGCUGCCUUUGACUUAAAGGUGUACCAUGUGCAGAUUGUUAAUGACAAGAGUGUCAUGUGGCAGGACUGCAUGUGCAAUACUUGAGAAAGCAUUCCCAUUCUUGGUCACUUUGUUUUUCAUGGGAAUUACGUACUUGCCUUAGGAAGAGAAACCAACAACUCUUAUUUUAGGAUGUGAAAAAUAAGUGUUUUAGAGAAGAGGAGAAAAUCAAUUGUAACUGGAAAAAGAGCAAACCUCCUGACUUGACUUCAUCCCAAAAUGUUAAUAUGUUCAUGACUGAAAAAGAAGUGACCACACAAAGCUGUGGUAACAAAAUAUUUUACUAAAAUAUUAUACAUUGAAUAUUUAGCUCAACAUUCUCAGGUUCUAUGCAAAUAAUGCAAACAUUGUGUUUUAUAUAAACAUUACACAGUAUCUUGCACAAAUCCGAGAAGAGCAACAUCUCUGCCAGAUCCAUUAUAGAUGGUUAGCCCUUGUGUUCCACUCAGCUUUUAUAUAAGGCAAAUGUUUGAUUGCAAAAAUCUAUCCUGUAUUCUCAAAAUAUCUUGGAAGGGUGAUACCUCUUCAGUAAUGCUGAAUCAGGCAAGGUAUGUGACCAAAUCCUUCAUGGACAUUUUUGAAAAUCCUAACCUAAAUUAAGAACAGGUUAGUUGAUGGGUUAUGAUUGUGAAAAGUAUAUUCAUUUUUCUGUAUUCAAAAGCCAAUCUUGCACUGGGAGAAAUACAUUAUGCUGAAGUGCACUUAACCAGCUGUAAGACGCUAUAAACUCUGUUGAUUUCUACAUGCCUUAUUACUAAAUGAGAAGUAACUUUUCAGAUAAACUUUCCAAAGCUAUUCAUAAAAAAAAAAUAUGAUUUAAUGAUCUACUGACCCAAGCAGCAUAAAAAUGUUAGGAUAAUGCACAUAAGCUUCCAAGAAUUUGUCUACGUUCUUCUAUUAGCCUAUAAAAAAAUAGAAAGAUAAGUGUGUGUACACUGCAGUAUUUUGUUUACCAUCCUAGUUACAUUUCCAUCCUUUUUCUGGUCAUCUAUCAUAGGAAAAUACAUAUAUUUUGGCAAAAGGCCACUGAACAGUUUUGAUUGUGUUAAAAGUUAUGAUAUGUGGCUGAAGCAGCAAAAACUCAUUUUAUUUAGCUGAUACAUAAAAACUGACUAUCUUUGUGGCUUUGUUUCAGUAAAUAAAUUUGCCUUACAUGCAAUCA